AGGGAGGGGGGGAGAAAAUCAACAAAUUUUAUUUUCCUUUUUCCCCUGUCAAUAAGAAUACCAAUGAACCUUUCCAUCCUUAUUAUACAUUAUUCUCCCCUUUUGCACUCUAUAAUUCAGCCAACCUGACAUUUUCUUGUCUUUUCUCACACAUACUCAGAUCAUCUCUUGGCUCCAUGCUUUUUUAUCUCCCCAUCGCUGGAAUGAACUCCCAAGUCACCUCUGUCUCCCAGAAACUACGUUCCUUCAAAAUUGUUCAAGCAACAUCUUCUACAUAGUCUUUUCUGACCACCCUCACCCCACCUACAACACCAACUCUCUCCUCCAAAUUUUAUAGACAUUUAUAUUUUUUCUCUCUGACAGAAUAUAAGCUAUUUGAGCAAGAUCUGACUUCCAUUUUUGUCAUUAUUUUCCCACUGUCUAGCACAGCUCCUGCACAAAAGGCAUUUAAUAAAUUCUAGUUAAGUAUGCAGUAAUCUGACUUUUGGGGAACACUUUAAGGGAACACACUAGCAAAGGUGUUUGGAUUAAAAAAGCAUAAGGGACCAAUUUUAUGUUUUAUAUAUUUUUCCCUUGAUCUUAAAAGGAAGCAGUUGUGCAAUGUUAGCAGAACACCCUCUCAAUCUGUCUCUCUGCCUCCCUGUUUCCCUCAGUUUCUUCCCUUCUCCUAGCUCUUUCUCUCCCCCUUCUCCUUUUCCCUUCCUUUUUCCUUCCCUCUUUCCCUCCCUUUCUCUCACUCUUCCCUCCUCCUUUCUCCCUCUCUCUCCAUCUCUUCCUCCCUUCCCCGUCUCUCUCUCCUUCAUCCCCUACCUACCUCCUAAAUUCUUGGGAGGAGAGUCCGUUCCAAAUGGCAAAGCUCUGCCCAAUUCUUAGUGGCCAUGACUAUUCUUACCUCGGGGGAGGGCCCCGGGCUGCAGAGCCACCAACUGUGACAAGUGCCAGACGAGUGGCCACAGCUGAGGAUUAAAAAACAGGCUUCAUCUUUCAGCCACAUCUGCACCCAGGGAUUAUGCCCCAGACAGGCCGGGCUAACUUUAGUCACCAAGAGAAAGGAGAUAUGUCCAUGUGUUUUCUACUUGACUGAAAAGGACAUCUGGGAUAAGUCCGGGUGUGGCCACUGGCAAGGUGGGGCCAGGCAUCCAGGAAAGAGAAAAGACCCUGUGCACGGGGAGGGAGAGAGCCGGGGGUGCAGCCCUGGCUGCGGGCCGCCCAUACUGACCAGGGAUUUCUCUGGAGCUCCAAAAGGCUGACCCAAUACCUGAGGUAGAAGUUACAAGGAGAGGGUUUCUGGCUCCCCAGAAGGAGAAGUUUCUGACAAUGAGAGCAGGACAAAGGAAGGCUGCCUGGCGAGUUCAAACAUCCCUCAGUCUUCCGAUCACAGGCUGAAUGGCCAUUUCUGGAGGAUUCCUGCAUGCCAGGAGGCAAUGCAUUUGAGUUGAUGGUAACUUUCAGAUCCUGAACCAUGUGGAGAUCUGUAAGAGUAAGGUGCUUCUGGAGCUUCAAGAAAGAACCGAGUCCCAAGAAUCCCCCUUCUUCUAACCCCCCUAGAUCUAGGUCUAGUACCUACCACGCGCCUGUCUUUCUGAACCUGAAACUUAAUUGAGAGAUCUUCCCCAAGUUCAAAGGAAAUCCCAACGCCCCUUUGCUGGCCAUCCAGCUCCUCGUGCUUUCCUCCUUUUUCCAUGACUGACUCCUCUUUGAAAUACUACAUUCCCAUCUUUUAAAGUGGCUUCAAAAAGAUCAGACUCCGCUAUGAAUGAUCUAAAUGCGGCACUUCCACGGCAGGAGGAGUGCAAAGGGAAGCAGAGUGAGUCUGAGGCAGCCCGGAGCCGAGUGAGCGGGUCCGCCCGACCAGCCCGCACCCCACGGGCGGAGAGGGGCGGCCGCCCCUGGGGAUCCACAAAAUUACCCGCGUCCCCGAAAAGAGAUGCAAACUUUUUCAGAAGCUAAAAAUGCUCAGCCCCAAAGAAUCCUUCCCUCCACCUUCUUUUCUCCACCAACACUAACCCAAAAUAAACCCUCCACCCGCUCAGCCCUGGAGCAGUUUCCUAAAAACAGCCAUUCUUUAUUCUCAGUAACUCUAGCCUCCAAGAUGAAAUCUUUGGAUCCUCAAGUUCCUCCCCAGGACGCUUCUCAGUCGUUUUUUACAACUCGGGCGGGAGAAAGGGAUCGUCCCGUACACCCGUGCAAGACUGCGCGGACAGACCGAACUGCAGUUACCUCCGUCACCAGACAGCGGGUCCAGCACCCUGCCACAAACAGGAGCAGCAUUCUCCCAUCGCCGGGCUCCCAAACUUUCUUAUCUCCGCCUAGGGCUCUUCCUCGGGGGCUCUCCCCGCGGCCGCCGCUGCUGCAGGAGCCCACGCCAGCCGAGGGCUCCCUCCUGACAUUUUCCCAGAAUGCCCCAGUAUCCCUCGGGGGCCUAGGGAUAAGGACUUGAAAGAAGUGGAACCAGGACCCACCCCUCCGCCCAUCCCCACCCCCCACCCCACUCGGCAACCUCCUUUUUUGAACAACUUCCCUAGGAGAGACCUGGUUCAAAUGUCUAAAUGGUGGUGAAGUCACACAUGACCUCACAAGCAUUCGGAUUAACCAUUUGGAGCCUGGCCCGGACCCUCAAGGGGGUGGAGCAAGGGGGGAGCAGGGAAUAGAAUGGGCAAUGGAAGGACUGUUUUAGGCUGUUUGGGUCCUGCCUGUAAGGCACGGGGGAGAAGGGAGUUGAUAAACUACUUCCCAAGGAGAAAUUAAGUAACAGUUUUAUCACUUGGAAAUUUCAAUCUUUUAUUUGAAAUGAUUGAAAAACUAUAGACCUGAUUUACUUUAUUGUAAUCAUUGGAAGAUCAGGUGGGGCAAUUCUAAGCCUUAGUAAUUUGCAAAUGAGCAUUUGUUUAGAUAAGUCUGAACCAGGCAGGAACACACCUACCUCCUUCUCCCUUCCCCCCCCCCCCCGACUGAAAAAAAAAAAAAAAAAAACUAAAACUAAAAAGUCUGAAGAAUUGAGAGACAAGCAGACCCAACUAAUGGAUAACAGGCAGCUUCAGGGUACCAGAGAGAAAUUGUGAGUUUCAGCCCUCUUGUGUUCCCCUUUCCUUUCCCUAGAUGUGUGGGCUGCAAUUUUGUUGGGAAGUAGAAUUUAAAGUAACAAGGGGGUAAAGGCAUCUAAAAAAAUAAAUAAAUAAAACUAGAAACUAAUUCAGAGUGAACUUCCAUUAGUCCCCAAAACUGAGAUUUGCAACAUUUCAGGUAAUUUAUUCUAUACAGGGACUUUCCCUCCCCUUCCCUAGCAUUAAAAGUAAAUUAUUUUUGUCAUUACUAUUCUUAAUUCAGCUACAUAAUGGCUUCUCUAUCAAUUGCCUAGCAAAGCACCUGUUCAUAAUCUGGAAGGAUUAGUUGGAGCCCCUGUGGCAAACAGCUAUGAAUCUCACUACAAUCCCAGCAGCUGCUCCAAAUCCCGCCCCCCACCUGUUCUAAAGAAUGAACUUGAGUAAUGGUUCCAUAAUUAUAAUUAUCCACCAACUCUCAUCUUCCUCUGGCUAAAAUGGAUAGAGGACAGCCUUAGGAGGACCUGAGCUCAAGCCCUAUCUCUGUCCACAGUGGCUGAGUUGUGGGAUCAUGGACAAGAGCCCAAGACAGUACUGUAAAACUUGAAGUUAUAGAUUUGGAGUUUCCCCAAACCAUAUUUAUUUUUACAGAUUUUUGAGAAUGAACAAACAGCCUGCACAAUCAUACAAGGAGUGGGAUUCAAAUCCAGAUUAUUUGUUCCAAAUCCUCAUUUGUUUCUACUAUCCCCAGAAGAUGGCCUUCCUCCUGGGGUGACUGCACCUGUACCAGGUUGGCAGAACACCUGCGGUUAGUUCAGAAUGGUGGCCCAGCAGGGCGGGUGGUCCAGGAUGACUUCUCAGGCUAGUAUCCCACAAUAAUUAACUCAAUUUUAUGAUUGAAUUUUUCUAGGUUGCUUCCUCUUACAUUCUUUCCAUCUUCUCAGACUUACUGGAGCAUAGUUUUGGGUUUGUUUUCCCCCCUGAACACCCACGGUUCUGGGCACCCUCUUUAAGGCAGUGUUCCCCUCCGGCCCCACAACACACUGGGCCAGGAGGUAAAUUAGCACAAUCCCUGUGUCCUCACACCACCUUAGCAGCCACCACUGCCAUAUCACAUCAAUCAAGUCUAAGGCACCAGGGAAACAGUAGGUACAUCUUUUUAUUGGGGAGCACAGCAACACGUACACAGAAAGAUAUACACAUCAUUUAUAUAAUACAAAACACACAAACACUAAGGGAAUUUCUGUAGGGAAGACCAACUUCUGGGGAUGAGAGAACUUGGAAAUGUUUCCUGCGGGAGGUGGGAAUCAAGUGUGGGUUAGAAGAAAACAAGCAAUUCUAAGAGUCAGAAAUAAGGAGAGAGAGCUUUCCAGACAUAAGGUAUCAGAGCCUAUGCAAGGGAGAAGGGAAAUAAAGUUGUUUGUGUGAAGAUUAAUUCAAGGGAGCCAGGAUGAAUGGACCACAGUGUAUGGGAAGGGGACUAAUGUGUAAUAAAUCUGGAAAGGUAGCUGCGGACUAAUUUUAAAGGGCUAAUCCCUCACUAUCUGGAUCCUAGCCAGACCUUUAUUCUUCAUCAGGGGAUCUUCAGAUCACCCUCUCACAAUAUGUUCAAUACCUAAUUCAGCCUUUUUUUUUUCACCCUAACUUCUUCCCUCUUUAAAUACCCUGGAUUCCAGGUUCCUUAGUUUCCCCAAUUCUCAUGUGUGUUCAAACUACAUCAAUCAUGAAAAAGUGUGAUACCUUUAGGGCACCCUUCCUGAAUGCCCAACUAAACUUUCACCAGUGUCCAGAAUUCUUAGCUGGGGAUCUGAAUAAAUGCAUGAUUUAUGUCUUUAGAAAACA